UAGGUGAGAGGCGGGGCCUGACAGGAUCCCCACGCGGCUUUGCUGAGUGACCCCUUUGUUCCAGCUGAGAGGAGGUCGGCGCCGCUUCCGGAGGAGGAACCAGGAGAGGGGAUUGCGGGUCUUCUCUGCAGCACCGGACGUUCCUUGCAGCAUUCGGGAUCUUUAGUUGCAGCAUUUGGGAACCCCAGCUGCGGCAUGUGGGAUACAAUUCCCUGACCAGGAAUUGAACCCUGGCCCCCUGCAUUGGGAGAACAAAGCCUUUGCCACUGGGCCACCAGGAAAGUUCCAACACUGUAUUUCUUCCUGGUUGAUGAUGCAGCUCUGGAAUAUAUGAGCCAAGAAUGGGCAUGGGUGCACGGAACCAGCCUGUGCAAAGGUCCUGGAAGGAUGGCAUGAGUGCACUGGACACCCAAGGACCUGAGGCAGCACAGAAAAUCAGAUGGGAACAGUGGUCAAGACAAGGGAUCCUAUGAGGAAAAAUAGAGGACACCUACACGUACCGAAAGACAUAAACUUUUCUUGGAGGAUGUGUCUCUCAAGUCUAUCCUGGUCAUUAAUUACAAAAGUCUUAAUCAAAGAGGAAACAUUGCUGCUGAAGAAAAGGUCCUCUACCUGCAGUCUCUAAUCUGAAACGUGCAUAUUUUAGUGCCUCUUAAAUCGGAAACAGUUGACAUAAAGGGGGAGAGAUGCACUGGGAGU